AUCGGUUUUAGUUUUUACCCGGCGCUUUCGAGGCAAGAUGCCGAAACCUUGUAAAAAGUACGCCAUCUUGGUUUCACCGAAGAUCGCGCUUCGAAGACAAGCGCGAUCUAGGACAAGAAUGCACCUAUAGUAGCUAAUAGGACCAGGAGGAGGAGGAGGAGGAAGCAGGGAUAAAUGGAGAAGGUAAAGAAAGAAGAAAAUGCAAAAAAUAAUGUAAUUGAAAUAAACUGAAAAAUACCUCAGUAAACAAGAAUUCAUCGUAAACUUUCCACCUUUCAAGAGGGGCAUAUGUUCCUAAGUUUUUGAAUAGAAUAUAGUACUUAAACGUACCCCCUCCAGCAGGCAAGGGGCGCCUGGCACCGUUGCGGGGUUAGGGGCGUCUCGAGAAGGACUUUACAUAAGCGGCGUUCGUAACAAUACUAUAAUUAGAAUUGGAGGAGUAAUAAGAAAAGAUGAAUGGCGGAGGUAAAGAAAGAAAUACAAUGCAAAAAUCAACAUAAUAAAAAAGCACCCCAAAGUACAAGAAUUAUUAGUAAAAUCUCAAAAAUUAAGGCAAUACAUCAGGGGUGAAGACUGGACGAAGCCUCGAGGCUCCCGCCAAUUGUGUGAACAAAACACAAAGUGAGAGUAGAAGAGACCGUGUUUAAGUAUUAAGUAUCACCUGCUGGAGUGACGGGAGGAGUGGAGCAGUAGCAGCAGUAGUGGUGGUGGGGGAGUGGUAUAAAGAAGAGGUGAGUAGCAGCAGCAGCAGCAGCACCAGUGGCAGAAGCAGCAGCAGUGGCAGCAUGGCUCAAGAGGGAGGCAGCGGAGGCAGAAGGCAUUGUGCUUGUCAAGUUUGUCAUCAAGCGGAACCAGCUCGGACUCCUCAAGAGACCUACCCAAGUUGGAGUUCGUGGUGGAGCGGCAGGUGCUGAUCAGCAAGCUUGGGGAUUUACUGGAGGAAGUGGUGGAGGUGGAGUACUUGGAGAAGCUCUCUCCACCCAUUCCCAAGGAUUCCCUCCACCUUGACAACUGGAUGUCUGCUGUACAGGCCACCGACCACUGGCUGCUGACAAGGUGGUACAGGAACACCCUACACCUGUGGUCCAUGCAGGGGCUGGCAGAGGGGCAGGGUGACAGAGCCCACUUCCUCACUAUCUCUGUUUGAGAGAGAGAGAGAGAGAGAGAGAGAGAGAGAGAGAGAGAGAGAGAGAGAGAGAGAGAGAGAGAGAGAGAGAGAGAGAGAGAGAGAGAGAGAGAGAGAGAGUCUUUUGCACUACUACUAUUACUCAGGUUGUUAGUGGUGAGUCAAUAGGGAGUUUUGAAAGACUAGUCAGAUGUAUGGAUGGGGAUUACAGGGAGAAAUAGGCAGGCAUGUUACACACAGGAACUGCCACGUGUAGGCCUGAUGGCUUUCCACACCAACAACCUACCACCUUCUACCACCAAAAAAAUAUAAAACACACCAGGUAUUCACUGACUGUCUCUCCCACACCAAAAAAUUAAAAACACCCAAAAUACUCACCUACCAUUGCUUCUACCACCUCCAUUACACUUGUACCACACCACAGCAUGUCCAUAGACUAGAUGGUGGUGGUGUGUGAUGGCAGUGACACCAAUGCUGUGGAGUGUAUGAGCAAGUGUCAUGGCCACAGCCAAAGAGUGGAGUGUGUGGCAGUGGAUGAGAGGAAGGAACACUGCCACAGGGUCCUGGAACAACCUCCUCAAGAUUUGGAAUACAGAUAAUCAGAGAGGGAAAGAGGAGGAGGAGGAGGAGGAGGA